rnacentral:rRNA from 1 species
CCUACGGGGGGCAGCAGUGGGGAAUAUUGGGCAAUGGGCGCAAGCCUGACCCAGCAACGCCGCGUGAAGGAAGAAGGCCCUCGGGUUGUAAACUUCUUUUAUUCGGGACGAACCAAAUGACGGUACCGAAUGAUUAAGCCACGGCUAACUACGUGCCAGCAGCCGCGGUAAUACGUAGGUGGCAAGCGUUAUCCGGAUUUACUGGGUGUAAAGGGUGAGUAGGUGGGGUAGCAAGUUGGACGUGAAAUUCCAGGGCUCAACCCUGGACCUGCAGUUGAAACUGUUCUUCUUGAGUGAGGGAGAGGCAAGCGGAAUUCGGUGGGUAGCGGUGAAAUGCGUAGAUAUUAGGAGGAACAACAGUGGCGAAGGCGGCCUGCUGGACAGUAACUGACGCUGAGGCGCGAAAGCGUGGGGAGCAAACAGGAUUAGAUACCCUGGUAGUC